rnacentral:rRNA from 1 species
CACACAAAUUAGAUUGUAUAAACCCUGCGAAGUCUUGUAACAAUACUAGGCAGACGGCUCAGUAACGCGUAGUCCCUUAACCUAUGGACGGGAAUAACCUCGGGAAACUGAGUAUCCUGUCCGAUAGAACAUUAUGCCUGGAAUGGUUUAUGUUCCAAAUGAUUUAUCGCCGUAGGAUGGGACUGCGGCCUAUCAGUUUGUUGGUGAGGUAAUGGCCCACCAAGACUAUUACAGGUACGGGCUCUGAGAGGAGUAGCCCGGAGAUGGGUACUGAGACACGGACCCAGGCCCUAUUGGGGCGCAUCAGGCGACAAAACUUUGCAAUGUGCGAAAACACGACAAGGUUAAUCCGAGUGGUUUCUGCUAAAGGAACCUUUUGUCGGUCCUAGAAACACCGAAUGAUAAGGGGUGGGCAAGUUCUGGUGUCAGCCCCCGCGGUAAAACCAGCACCUCAAGUGGUCAGGAUGAUUAUUGGGGCCUAAAGCAUCCGUAGCCGGCGCUGUAAGUUUUUCAGUUAAAUCUGUACGCUCAACGUACAGGGCUGUCGGGGAAUACUGCAGCGUUAUGGAGUGGGAAAGGUAAACCGUACUCGGUAAGAAAGGGGUAAAAUUCUUUUAUCUUAUUUGAUGAACCCCUUGUGCGAACGCUGUUUUUCCAAAUAACUUUCCGACGGUGAUGGAAUGAAAGUUGGGGGAACAAACCGGAUUUAAUAACCCGGAAUAUCCACGCUAUAAAACCAAGAAAAAUAUCAUAAUGCAAUUGGCUUUGGAGGCCAAUGAUAUUUCUGCAGGGGAACCCCUUUUAUUUUGCCCCCUGGGG